UCAUAUGCUUGUCUCAAAGAUUAAGCCAUGCAUGUCUCCGUACAAGCUUAAUUAAAGUGAAACCGCGAAAGGCUCAUUAAAUCAGUUAUGGUUCAUUAGAUUGUACCAAGUUACUCGGAUAACUGUGGUAAUUCUAGAGCUAAUACGUGCAAAUAGAACCCCGACCGGAAACGGGAAGGGUGCUUUUAUUAGCCUAAAACCAAUCGGCGGCGUGCGUCUUCGGGCGCGCGUUCGUCGUUUAGUAUGACGAAUCUAAAUAACUCUAUGCUGAUCGCACGGUUUAAUACCGGCGACGCAUCUUUCAAAUGUCUGACUCAUCAACUGUCGAUGGUAGGUUAUGUGCCUACCAUGGUUGUGACGGGUAACGGGGAAUCAGGGUUCGAUUCCGGAGAGGGAGCCUGAGAAACGGCUACCACAUCCAAGGAAGGCAGCAGGCGCGCAAAUUACCCACUCCCGGCACGGGGAGGUAGUGACGAAAAAUAACGAUACGGGACUCAUCCGAGGCCCCGUAAUCGGAAUGAGUACACUUUAAAUCCUUUAACGAGGAUCAAUUGGAGGGCAAGUCUGGUGCCAGCAGCCGCGGUAAUUCCAGCUCCAAUAGCGUAUAUUAAAGUUGUUGCGGUUAAAAAGCUCGUAGUCGAAUUUGUGUCCCGCGCCGUCGGUUCGCCGCUCGCGGCGUUUAAUUGGCGUUUUGCGGGACGUCAUGCCGGUGGGCUUAGCUCGUCGCGUUCGCGCGCGUCGGGCGGUCCAACUUUUAUACCCGUCGCGGUGCUCUUCGUUGAGUGUCGAGGCGGGCCGGCACGUUUACUUUGAACAAAUUAGAGUGCUUAAAGCAGGCUAAAAUAUUGCCUGGAUAUUGUGUGCAUGGAAUAAUAAAAUAGGAUCUCGGUUCUAUUUUGUUGGUUUUCGGAACUCCGAGGUAAUGAUUAAUAGGAACGGAUGGGGGCAUUCGUAUUGCGACGUUAGAGGUGAAAUUCUUGGAUCGUCGCAAGACGGACUAAAGCGAAAGCAUUUGCCAAAAACGCUUUCAUUGAUCAAGAACGAAAGUUAGAGGUUCGAAGGCGAUCAGAUACCGCCCUAGUUCUAACCAUAAACGAUGCCAGCCAGCGAUCCGCCGAAGUUCCUCCGAUGACUCGGCGGGCAGCUUCCGGGAAACCAAAGCUUUUGGGUUCCGGGGGAAGUAUGGUUGCAAAGCUGAAACUUAAAGGAAUUGACGGAAGGGCACCACCAGGAGUGGAGCCUGCGGCUUAAUUUGACUCAACACGGGAAACCUCACCAGGUCCGGACACCGGAAGGAUUGACAGAUUGAGAGCUCUUUCUUGAUUCGGUGGGUGGUGGUGCAUGGCCGUUCUUAGUUGGUGGAGCGAUUUGUCUGGUUAAUUCCGAUAACGAACGAGACUCUGGCCUACUAAAUAGGCGAUUUCGACAUCUCGAAGGCCCGCCGGCCGACGUUCGCGCGUCGUGUCGCGCGCGGUUUUUACUGUCGACGCUAUAUAAAUUCUUCUUAGAGGGACAGGCGACUUCUAGUCGCACGAGAUUGAGCAAUAACAGGUCUGUGAUGCCCUUAGAUGUCCUGGGCCGCACGCGCGCUACACUGAAGGAAUCAACGUGUCUUCCUUGGCCGAGAGGUCCGGGUAACCCGCUGAAACUCCUUCGUGCUAGGGAUUGGGGCUUGCAAUUGUUCCCCAUAAACGAGGAAUUCCCAGUAAGCGCGGAUCAUAAGUUCGCGUUGAUUACGUCCCUGCCCUUUGUACACACCGCCCGUCGCUACUACCGAUUGAAUGAUUUAGUGAGGUCUUCGGAUCGGUACGCGUUGACGCCUUUUAGGCGUUGCCGGUGUUACCGAAAAGAUGACCAAACUUGAUCAUUUAGAGGAAGUAAAAGUCGUAACAAGGUUUCC
rnacentral:rRNA from 1 species